AAGUCGUAACAAGGUUUCCGUAGGUGAACCUGCGGAAGGAUCAUUAUCGUACAACAGGAGGUGCCCCAGGUUGUCGCUGACCCUAGGUCGUGCACGCCUCGAGCAUUCUUACUCCUCAUCCACCUCACCCUUGUGCAUCCCCGCGUGGGCUUCUCUUUCGAGAGAGCCUACGUCUUUUCACAUAAACACAAACCAGUUCAGAAUGUUCUUUGCAUUUGUAUGUGCAGUUAAUACAACUUUCAACAACGGAUCUCUUGGCUCUCGCAUCGAUGAAGGACGCAGCGAAAUGCGAUACGUAAUGUGAAUUGCAGAAUUCAGUGAAUCAUCGAAUCUUUGAACGCACCUUGCGCCCCUUGGCAUUCCGAAGGGCACACCCGUUUGAGUGUCGUGAAGUUCUCAACCUUCUUCAUUUCUUUCUUGACUUGGGGAAAGGCUUGGAUUUUGGAGGCUUUUGCCGGACUCUCUUGAUCGAGAUCGGCUCCUCUUAAACGGAUUAGCAGGAUCCCUUUUUUCGCUGGUCCUCGACGUGAUAAGGUUUCUUCUACGUCUGGAACUUAGCUUAUGAGGCUUGCUUCUAAUCGUCUCUUCGAGACAGUUGGUCAGACCUCUCUCCGUCUGACCUGCUUUUGAACCCCUUUGACCUCAAAUCGGGUGAGACUACCCGCUGAACUUAA
rnacentral:rRNA from 2 species